rnacentral:tRNA from 1 species
GAGGGUAUAGCUCAGUGGUAGAGCGUAUGCUUGGUAUGCACAAGGUCCUGAGUUCAAAAUCCCCAGUACCUACA